rnacentral:lncRNA from 1 species
AAGACGCAUGGGCGCACCCACACAGGAGAGCGCCCCCACCAGUGCCACCUGUGCCCUGAAGCAUUCAUUCAGAGUUGCCACCUGACACGCCAUCUGCGUUACCACACGGGAGAGCGUUGCUUUUCCUGUGUGCACUGCAGUGCAUCCUUUUCACGAAAGCGCCAUCUGUCCAAUCACAUGUCCUGGCAUGCAGGGAAGAAGUCCUAAAGGUGGUUUGGAAAUGCGUCAAACACAGUCGGACAACUUCCGGGUUGCAGCCGUAUCGUCUGCCCGGUCCGG